rnacentral:rRNA from 1 species
AUUGAACGCUGGCGGCAGGCCUAACACAUGCAAGUCGAGCGGAUGAUGGGAGCUUGCUCCUUGAUUCAGCGGCGGACGGGUGAGUAAUGCCUAGGAAUCAGCCUGGUAGUGGGGGACAACGUUUCGAAAGGAACGCUAAUACCGCAUACGUCCUACGAGAGAAAGCAGGGGACCUUCGGGCCUUGCGCUAUCAGAUGAGCCUAGGUCGGAUUAGCUAGUUGGUGGGGUAAUGGCUCACCAAGGCGACGAUCCGUAACUGGUCUGAGGGGAUGAUCAGUCACACUGGAACUGAGACACGGUCCAGACUCCUACGGGAGGCAGCAGUGGGGAAUAUUGGACAAUGGGCGAAAGCCUGAUCCAGCCAUGCCGCGUGUGUGAAGAAGGUCUUCGGAUUGUAAAGCACUUUAAGUUGGGAGGAAGGGCAGUAAGCUAAUACCUUGCUGUUUUGACGUUACCGACAGAAUAAGCACCGGCUAACUCUGUGCCAGCAGCCGCCGCAGUAA